rnacentral:rRNA from 1 species
GAUGAACGCUGGCGGCGUGCCUAAUACAUGCAAGUCGAGCGAACGGACGAGAAGCUUGCUUCUCUGAUGUUAGCGGCGGACGGGUGAGUAACACGUGGAUAACCUACCUAUAAGACUGGGAUAACUUCGGGAAACCGGAGCUAAUACCGGAUAAUAUUUUGAACCGCAUGGUUCAAAAGUGAAAGACGGUCUUGCUGUCACUUAUAGAUGGAUCCGCGCUGCAUUGGCUAGUUGGUAAGGUAACGGCUUACCAAGGCAACGAUGCAUAGCCGACCUGAGAGGGUGAUCGGCCACACUGGAACUGAGACACGGUCCAGACUCCUACGGGAGGCAGCAGUAGGGAAUCUUCCGCAAUGGGCGAAAGCCUGACGGAGCAACGCCGCGUGAGUGAUGAAGGUCUUCGGAUCGUAAAACUCUGUUAUUAGGGAAGAACAUAUGUGUAAGUAACUGUGCACAUCUGGACGGUACCUAAUCAGAAAGCCACGGCUAACUACGU